CGCAGAAGGAGCAACAUUACCUGAGAGGGUGAGAUAACAGGAUCACAUGUCAAAAGAAGAAGGUAAUCAGUGCACAGAGGACGCUGACAGAAAUGCCAAGAUGCAGAAGACCCAACUGUUUGUGCAGAAAGGACCUCACCUGAUGGAGGAAACCUCUUUGGAAAUGUCAGGAACGCUUAUGCUUAUGACUUGUAGUCCACCAGCUGCUAAGAUCUGAAGCAGAUGUCUGGUGAAGAGAGGAGCUCUCAUCUCAUGAUCAGCUGAAGUGGAGUAUGGGAUCUUCAGCUAGCAGAAUGCUAGGCAAAGCUACCUCACCAGUAUCUGUACAUAAUGAAGCAAGUUAACUUUGGUUUGUUUCCCCUGGUUUUACAGUUUCCAGAUGUUCCCUCCUUUUCCGCUGUGCCUGUAUAGUCACCUCCACCAGAGACCUGAAAACCACUUGGGGAAAGGGAACAGCCAUUUGGUCCAAACAGGAGUAUAUGCCACACACACACCCUAUGUUGUUGAAAGAUUCAAAUAUGGCAAUGGAAAUAGCUGUGAAUUUUCCCAAUGGCCUCUGCAUCUCUUAUGCCUCCUCUUUCAUUGCCGAUUUAAUGAUUCAGUGGAAGUUCAGGAUGCCCAGAUGAUCAACAGGAAGAUUGGAACAAGAAGAUUGUUUUGUUGUUGUUGUCCUGAUGUAUCAAUAAAAUCAUAAUUUUUUU